AACCCAUGGUGAGGGCACCUUCUUAAUAGAUCCUUAUAUCUCUUCCAUGUAUCAUAAAGAGUUUCUAAAUACAUAUGCACAAAAGCAGAGAUAUCAUUCCUUAGUUU
rnacentral:snoRNA from 1 species